GACGAACGCUGGCGGCGUGCCUAAUACAUGCAAGUAGAACGCUGAAGCUUGGUGCUUGCACCGAGCGGAUGAGUUGCGAACGGGUGAGUAACGCGUAGGUAACCUGCCUGGUAGCGGGGGAUAACUAUUGGAAACGAUAGCUAAUACCGCAUAACAGUAGAUGUUGCAUGACAUUUGCUUAAAAGGUGCAAUUGCAUCACUACCAGAUGGACCUGCGUUGUAUUAGCUAGUUGGUGGGGUAACGGCUCACCAAGGCGACGAUACAUAGCCGACCUGAGAGGGUGAUCGGCCACACUGGGACUGAGACACGGCCCAGACUCCUACGGGAGGCAGCAGUAGGGAAUCUUCGGCAAUGGACGGAAGUCUGACCGAGCAACGCCGCGUGAGUGAAGAAGGUUUUCGGAUCGUAAAGCUCUGUUGUAAGAGAAGAACGAGUGUGAGAGUGGAAAGUUCACACUGUGACGGUAUCUUACCAGAAAGGGACGGCUAACUACGUGCCAGCAGCCGCGGUAAUACGUAGGUCCCGAGCGUUGUCCGGAUUUAUUGGGCGUAAAGCGAGCGCAGGCGGUUAGAUAAGUCUGAAGUUAAAGGCUGUGGCCUAACCAUAGUACGCUUUGGAAACUGUUUAACUUGAGUGCAAGAGGGGGGAGUGGAAUUCCAUGUGUAGCGGUGAAAUGCGUAGAUAUAUGGAGGAACACCGGUGGCGAAAGCGGCUCUCUGGCUUGUAACUGACGCUGAGGCUCGAAAGCGUGGGGAGCAAACAGG
rnacentral:rRNA from 1 species